rnacentral:lncRNA from 1 species
GGUCGUAGCGGGUAUCUUCCCAAUUGAUGAGCUCCGGAGUUGUCAUCACUGGGUCGUAGCGGGUAUCUCCCCAGAGGACGGUCCCAUCGGGUUGUAGCGGGUAUCUCCCCGAUUAUUGGGAUUUGGUUGGUGAGUUUUAAGGCGAAACCUACGGAUUAGCUGAGCUGAUUAGGUAUUGAUUGUGGCAAUUGCCAUGCACCAUGAGCAAUACAUAGGUUGGUUCUCCUCGCCCAUUGGGCGAUGUGGUUUGAGGAUUUAAGGUUGAGGUGUAUGUGAGACGUCCUUCACCUUGUGCCUGACAGAGCGCGGCAUAUCCGCGGGUGAUUGACUCUAGACCGAGUCGAGCGGCAUAGUUGGCUAAGGU